AGAGUUUGAUCAUGGCUCAGAUUGAACGCUGGCGGCAUGCCUAACACAUGCAAGUCGAACGGCAGCGCGGACUUCGGUCUGGCGGCGAGUGGCGGACGGGUGAGGAAUACAUAGGAAUCUGCCCCAUUGUGGGGGAUAACGUAGGGAAACUUACGCUAAUACCGCAUAAGACGGCGACGUGAAAGCGGGGGAUCUUCGGACCUCGCGCGAUGGGAUGAGCCUAUGUCGGAUUAGCUAGUUGGCGGGGUAAAGGCCCACCAAGGCGACGAUCCGUAGCUGGUCUGAGAGGAUGAUCAGCCACACUGGAACUGAGACACGGUCCAGACUCCUACGGGAGGCAGCAGUGGGGAAUAUUGGACAAUGGGCGCAAGCCUGAUCCAGCAAUGCCGCGUGGGUGAAGAAGGCCUUCGGGUUGUAAAGCCCUUUUGUACGGAAAGAAAUCCUGGUGGUUAAUACCCGCCGGGGAUGACGGUACCGUAAGAAUAAGCACCGGCUAACUUCGUGCCAGCAGCCGCGGUAAUACGAAGGGUGCAAGCGUUAAUCGGAAUUACUGGGCGUAAAGCGUGCGUAGGUGGUUUCUUAAGUCUGUCGUGAAAGCCCUGGGCUCAACCUGGGAAUGGCGAUGGAUACUGGGAGGCUAGAGUGCGGUAGAGGAUGGCGGAAUUCCCGGUGUAGCGGUGAAAUGCGUAGAGAUCGGGAGGAACAUCUGUGGCGAAGGCGGCCAUCUGGACCAGCACUGACACUGAGGCACGAAAGCGUGGGGGAGCAAACAGGGAUUAGAUACCCUGGUAGUCCACGC
rnacentral:rRNA from 1 species